AUUGAACGCUGGCGGCAGGCCUAACACAUGCAAGUCGAGCGGAUGAAGGGAGCUUGCUCCUGGAUUCAGCGGCGGACGGGUGAGUAAUGCCUAGGAAUCUGCCUGGUAGUGGGGGAUAACGUCCGGAAACGGGCGCUAAUACCGCAUACGUCCUGAGGGAGAAAGUGGGGGAUCUUCGGACCUCACGCUAUCAGAUGAGCCUAGGUCGGAUUAGCUAGUUGGUGGGGUAAAGGCCUACCAAGGCGACGAUCCGUAACUGGUCUGAGAGGAUGAUCAGUCACACUGGAACUGAGACACGGUCCAGACUCCUACGGGAGGCAGCAGUGGGGAAUAUUGGACAAUGGGCGAAAGCCUGAUCCAGCCAUGCCGCGUGUGUGAAGAAGGUCUUCGGAUUGUAAAGCACUUUAAGUGGGGAGGAAGGGAAGUAAGUUAAUACCUUGCUGUUUUGACGUUACCAACAGAAUAAGCACCGGCUAACUUCGUG
rnacentral:rRNA from 1 species